rnacentral:lncRNA from 1 species
UGACUUGAUUCUUCUUAUAUACUUUCAUUUACUUUGUCUUUCAUUUUUACUUUCUUAUGCUCUAUACUCUAUUUACUCCCUAUCCGGUGGAGUUGGGAAGGGGCACGAGGUACUACCACUAGCCUCCCUCUUGUGCCGUCCCUAAUAUGCCCUACACCGAAUAGUUGGGUCAAAUAGUGCCGGGUACUACCACUAGCCUCCCCAUUGGCACCAUCCCUAUGAUGAGCAAUAUAGAAAGGUUAAAAUGUUUACUUCAAACUCUCCCUAUUUAAGUGUAAUUAAUUAUGGAUUUUAUCCCUUCCAAAUGUGCCGAAUAUAUUAUGCUUGUUUUGCUUUUCCUUAAGAUUGGAGUACUUGCCUUUGCUUAGAUUUUUCAUCUCUUGAAUAAUAUCCAUUUUCUUUUCUUUAUCUCUCUCUC